rnacentral:rRNA from 1 species
UAGUCCACGCCCUAAACGAUGUAUACUCGACGUUUGGAUGAAUUUCUGGGCGUCCAAGGGAAACCAUUAAGUAUACCACCUGGGAGUACGGUCGCAAGAUUAAAACUCAAAUGAAUUGACGGGGGCCCGCACAAGCGGUGGAGCAUGUGGUUUAAUUCGAUGCAACGCGAAGAACCUUACCUACUCUUGACAUCCAGAGAACUUAGCAGAGAUGCUUUGGUGCCUUCGGGAACUCUGAGACAGGUGCUGCAUGGCUGUCGUCAGCUCGUGUUGUGAAAUGUUGGGUUAAGUCCCGCAACGAGCGCAACCCUUAUCCUUGUUUGCCAGCGAGUAAUGUCGGGAACUCCAGGGAGACUGCCGGUGAUAAACCGGAGGAAGGUGGGGACGACGUCAAGUCAUCAUGGCCCUUACGAGUAGGGCUACACACGUGCUACAAUGGCGCAUACAGAGAGCUGCCAACUCGCGAGAGUGAGCGAAUCCCAAAAAGUGCGUCGUAGUCCGGAUUGG